GAACGCUGGCGGCGUGGUAAGGCAUGCAAGUCGACCGCAUUUAGUUGCGGGGCAAACGGGUUAGUAACACGUAGGAACAUACCUCAAAGACAGGGAUAACCUUGCGAAAGCGAGAAUAAUACCUGAUAAUCUCUUCGGAGUAAAGAUUUAUCGCUUUGAGAGUGGCCUGCGUCCUAUCAGCUAGUUGGUGAGGUAAUAGCUCACCAAGGCUAUGACGGGUAGGGGGCGUGAGAGCGUGAUCCCCAACAUUGGCACUGAGACACUGGCCAAACACCUACGGGUGGCUGCAGUCGAGAAUCUUCCACAAUGGGGGCAACCCUGAUGGAGCGACGCCGCGUGCAGGAUGACAGCCUUCGGGUUGUAAACUGCUUUUAUAAAGGAAGAAUCCGCUUCGGCGGGUUGACGGUACUUUAUGAAUAAGGGGUUGCUAACUACGUGCCAGCAGCAGCGGUAAUACGUAGACCUCAAGCGUUAUCCGGAUUUAUUGGGCGUAAAGGGUGUGUAGGCGGCUCAAAUAGUCAGAUGUUAAAUCACUAGGCUCAACUUAGUGACUGCAUUUGAAACGUUUGAACUAGAAGUAUGCAGAGGUUAGCGGAACUUAUGGUGUAGCAGUGAAAUGCGUUGAUAUCAUAAGGAACACCAAAGGCGAAGGCAGCUAACUGGGCAUUACUUGACGCUGAGGCACGAAAGCGUGGGUAGCGAAUGGGAUUAGAUACCCCAGUAGUCCACGCCGUAAACGAUGUACACUAGAUAUUGG
rnacentral:rRNA from 1 species